ACUCCUACGGGAGGCAGCAGUGGGGAAUUUUGCGCAAUGGGCGAAAGCCUGACGCAGCAACGCCGCGUGAGUGAUGAAGGCUUUCGGGUCGUAAAGCUCUGUCGAGGGGAAAGAAGUGUAUUGUGGUUAAUACCUGCGAUACUUGACGGUACCCCUAAAGGAAGCACCGGCUAACUCCGUGCCAGCAGCCGCGGUAAUACGGGGGGUGCAAGCGUUGUUCGGAAUUAUUGGGCGUAAAGCGCGUGUAGGCGGUUUGUUAAGUCUGUUGUGAAAGCCCUGGGCUCAACCCAGGAAGUGCACUGGAUACUGGCAGACUUGAAUACGGGAGAGGGUAGUGGAAUUCCUGGUGUAGGAGUGAAAUCCGUAGAUAUCAGGAGGAACACCGGUGGCGAAGGCGGCUGCCUGGACCGAUAUUGACGCUGAGACGCGAAAGCGUGGGUAGCAAACAGGAUUAGAUACCCUGGUAGUCCACGCCGUAAACGAUGAGAACUAGGUGUCGCGGGUA
rnacentral:rRNA from 1 species